GCGAGCCGAGGAACAAGAAAGGAGGGGAGGUCCACCCAGGCUAGCUGUUCCCGCAUCAAACAACUUACACGUUAAUUUAUCGCAGAGUAAAGCAAAACACAACAGAUGUGUAUAGAGACCCUACACAGUAUCCGGAAACAUUUCUGCCCGCAUCCGAAUACUUUCAAGAGGCUGUAGUACAAAUUACACGGGUUUUAAGGAUGUUUCUACGGUCCUCGUGACAGACUGCAGUAUUAUGAGUGCGGCUCUGUUCUGAGUGACAAUUACCUCAGCACAGCCUCGACCAAUCAGCACCAAGUAUUGAAGUCACGUGAUACUCUCUUCUCGCCGUCUCCUCAGCCAUUCGCCCUGCGCCCGCUGACGUGAUGUGACAGGUCUCCGGUUGUGUUGCAGCGGUGAGGUGGUGUUGCAUCUUUUCUCAGCGGGCGUGUUGUGGUGGAUUGCGGUGUGAAGGGAGAGGUGGAUAGGAGAUAAUUGGUGGGCUGUGUGUGGUGAGUGCCACAUUGUCUGUGAGGGACCCCCAGAGCCACACAGCACCAGCUGCGACAGCUACAGCAGCAGCAGCAGCAGCAGGACGAGGAAAUGGCAUCCACCUUCUACCACCGGGGCCUCCUCCUCCUCCAGCAGCUGGCCAGGGUGCAGGGACAGGAUGAGCAAGCAGGUGGUGACAGAGAGGGUGGCCAGCUUGUCCCUCCCUCCUGCCACCCAGCCACAGCACUGGCAGUUGCUGCAGUGAGACUGCCCAGGCACAAGUUUGUGCACGUGUCCAGGACGUGAAGGUGAUGGGAACGUGUCCUGUAGGAGGGAGCAGAGCUGUAACAGUACCCGAGUCUGCUGCUGUGCUGGGAGAAGGAGAAAAACAUCAGCAGUAGUUAGUAGUGGUAGUAGAAGUAUUCAACAGUGGUGGGGCUCUGCUGCUGCUGCUGCUGCUGUCAGUGGUGCAGCUGUUCACUCCUCCACAGCUGCUGCCUUCCCUCAACAUACUGUGUCUUCCCUCACCUACAAUGAACAACUAUGAACAAUACCUCUCGUGCAAUCAGGCAGCGCUCAGCUGUACUCACCAAUAGACUGACCACUAAGAAUUACCUGUGGGCCACAUGACAAGGCCCACGCCAGCCAGGCUUGGUUGCCAAUCAAUAACAACAACAUCUUGUGCAAUGAAGGACACUGAAUAACACCACCUCUCCCCUGCAUCAUCAACAAUCAACAACAUCUGCUUUGUUUCACUGAUGCUGUCCCCCCUUUCUCUCUCUCUCUCUCUCACCUCACCUCAGCCCACAGUGCCACAGUAUGUCCCCCCACAGUAUGUUUACAAACCCACAGUGACUCACCAAUAAGUGACCCCCUCACACACACACACACAUACACAAAUGUUGCAUCUUGUACAAUGGCCACAAUAAAGAAUGGACACACAAAAUGGACAAA